UGGGAGCCGGGGCGGGGAGGGGAGUUGGGGGGGUGGGGGGCGGUGGUGAGAGAUAAGCGGCGCGGCCGGGCGGCGUUGGAUGGCGGCUCCCGCCCGCCGGGUCGCCCUCCCCAGCCUGGAAUGUCCUGGGGAGCCGCCGCCGAGCGGGACCGGGACCGGCCGCCGCCGCUGGGAGCUGUUUCGGUGCCUCAUCUUAGUCUGGAGCUCGGUGCUUUCAACUUCUGGAAUCUGGCGCUAUGCAUCCAGAUCCCGGACGCUUACAGGCACUGCUCUUCAUCACUGCCACGGGUCUCAUCGCUGCCGCCAGUUCAGAUUUAACUCCCCGUUUUAUUUCUGAGCCCUCGUCUACUGUCCAGAAGCCUGGUGGGUCUGUACAACUCCGCUGCUCUGCCGAGCCCUCCGCGGCUCGCCUGUCAUGGCUCUUUAAUGGGGAGCCUCUGGACAGCAAGGGGGGAGAAGUGGAAAUCCAGCCAGGCUCCUUGACGAUCGCCUCCCUCAGCCUGCCGACCUCUGGCCGCUAUCGGUGCGUUGCGAACAGCAGCGUGGGCGCCGUUGUGAGCAGGCCUGCGACGGUAUCCAUGGGCAGUUUAGCUGACUUUGACACGUCGGUGAAGCCCGCCGUCGCGGCGGAGGAAGGAGGUACGGCUUUCAUCGGGUGCAAGGUGCCAGAAAGCAACCCUAAAGCCCAGGUUCGCUUUCAAGUGCGGGGGAAAUGGCUGGAACAAUCAACAGACAACUACCUAAUUCUUCCAUCUGGAAACCUGCAGAUUUUGAAUGUAUCUUUAGAAGACAGAGGGUCCUAUAAAUGUGCGGCGUACAACCCGGUUACUCACGAUCUCAGAGUAGAACUCACUGGGCGUAAGCUCGUAGUCACACGCUCUUCCUCAGGCGGCUUCCAAAUCCUUCACCCCCUGGCUCCCCAGAGCCUGGCAGUGCCCCGGCACAGCCCCCUGACGCUGGAGUGUGUUGUCAGCGGGUCGCCUCCGGCCUCCGUCCGCUGGGUGAAGGACGGCCAGGACGCCCUGGGAAAAGGCAGGUGGAAACUGCUGCGCUCCCACCUGGUGACGGACAGGCUCGAGGCAUCGGACUCUGGGAAUUACUCCUGCGUGGUGGGAAAUGAACUUGGAGUAGUGAAAUACGUUAACUAUUCACUUACUAUACUUGAACCUGCCUCCAUCUCCAAGGGACUGCAAGACGAAACCGUGGCCGCUGGAGCGACCGCCCAUUUCUGGUGCGAGGUCCGCGGGAGCCCUGCUCCGACCCUCACCUGGCUCCACAACGCGGCCCCCCUCCGCCUCUCCCCGCGGCAUCUGCCGACGGGCAACCGCCUGCGCAUCCGCGGCGUCACCCAGGAGGACUCCGGCUUGUACCAGUGUGUAGCGAACAACGGGCUGGGAUUUGUGCAGUCCACUGGGAGGCUUCGUGUCCUGCCAGGCAAAGGCUCUAGCCCGGUUAUAGUCUCUCCACCAGCAAGCGUCACUGUGGCAGAUGGUGGGGACGUUACGCUGUCUUGCAAUGCCACUGGCCUACCCGUCCCCGUGAUCCGUUGGUAUGACAGCAGAGGACUUAUUACCAGCCGUCCUUCCCAGGUGCUUCAUUCCAAACCGCAGAAACCUCCUCGAGCGACGCCGGGCAGCGCCGUCGCGGAUCCCACCACCUCCUCCUGGGUGUCCCAAGCGGGCUCGAGCUCCUUGCACGUGAGGAACGUGACUCCCGAGCGUGGCGGGGAGUACACGUGCGAAGCCACCAACGCGCACGGCUCCGUGGUGGCCAAAGCCUUCCUUACAGUUGAAACUGCCCCCAAAGCCGAAGAGACGGAGGUUGCCCAGAGCGAUGGAAGCCACGGCGAUUUCGGCGCGGAAACGGCGUUCUCAAGCUGGCCGCCGACAAAAGCGCGUUUGGAGGCGGCUGUGACGGAAAAGGCCUCGAACGCCGCCGCUCCCCCCGAAGCCCCCAUCAUCCUCAGCCCCCCGCAGACGCUGAAGCCCGACGCGUACACCCUGGUGUGGCGCUCGGGGAGGGAUGGGGGCUCGCCCAUCAACGCCUAUUUCGUCAAAUACCGCAAGCUGGACGACGGCGUCAGCGCGGUGGGCAGCUGGCACACGGUGCGCGUCCCCGGCAGCGAGAACGAGCUGCGCCUCACCGAGCUGGAGCCUUCCAGCCUGUACGAGGUUUUAAUGGUGGCGAGGAGCGCGGCGGGCGAGGGCCAGCCCGCCAUGCUGACAUUUCGCACCAGCAAAGAAAGAACGUCGUCCUCGAAAAACACUCAGGCUCCCUCUCCGCCAGUAGGCAUUCCGAAACAUCCCGUCGUUCCCGAAGGGACAAAUAAUUUCGGUGUCGUCCUUCCCGACCUGUCUCGCCACAGCGGAGUUCCAGAAGCUCCCGACCGCCCCACGAUCUCCACGGCAUCGGAAUCCUCCGUCUACGUCACGUGGAUACCACGGGCGAACGGUGGCUCCCCCAUUACUGCCUUUAAAGUGGAGUAUAAACGCCUGGGUCGAAACAGUGACUGGCUGAUCGCAGCUGAUAACAUUUCUCCUUCCAAACUGUCUGUGGAAGUCCGUAACUUGGAGCCAGGAGAAAUGUAUAGGUUCCGUGUGAUUGCCGUGAACAAUUACGGGGAGAGCCCGCGCAGUGCGGCGUCUCGCCCUUACCAAGUAGCCGGAUUCACCAGCCGCUUUUCCAACCGCCCCAUCGCAGGACCUCACAUCGCUUAUACCGAAGCCAUCAGUGACACUCAGAUCAUGUUAAAAUGGACGUAUAUCACAUCAAGCAACAACAACACGCCCAUCCAGGGAUUUUAUAUCUACUACCGGCCUACAGACAGCGACAACGAUAGCGACUACAAGAGGGAUAUCGUGGAAGGUACGAAGCAAUGGCACUUGAUAAAUCACCUGCAGCCAGAAACAUCUUACGACAUUAAAAUGCAGUGCUAUAACGAAGGCGGCGAAAGCGAGUACAGCAACGUGAUGAUCUGCGAAACCAAAGUGAAACGUACGCCGGGAGCAUCGGAAUAUCCGGUGAAGGACCUGAGUACCCCGCCGAAUCCCCCCGACCGGGUCGGGGGAAGCGGAGCCGGCCCUUCCAACGGCCCCGUUCGCAGCGGUGACAUGCUCUACUUGAUCGUGGGCUGCGUCCUGGGGGUGAUGGUCCUUAUUCUCAUCGUUUUCAUCGCCAUGUGCCUGUGGAAGAACCGUCAGCAAAACGCCAUGCAGAAAUAUGACCCUCCUGGCUACCUCUACCAAGGGGCGGAUAUCGCCGGGCAGAUGAUUGAGUACACGACCUUGCCCGGCACGAGCCGGGUCAACGGCAGCAUCCACGGCAACUUCAUCAGCAACGGCGGCCUGAGCAACGGCUGUCCGCACGUCCAUCAUAAAGUUACGAACGGAGUCAAUGGGAUGAUGAACGGCGGAGCCGGGCUGUACCCGGGGCACACCAACUCCCUGUCCAGGACGCACGUGGACUACGAACAUCCCCACCAUCUCGUGAACGGCGGUGGGAUGUACACAGCAGUGGCGCAGGCCGACCCCUCGGAGUGCAUCAGUUGCCGAAACUGUCGGAACAAUAACAGGUGACGUAAAACCGGCGGGGAAGGCAGGACCUUGCCCCGAGCUCCGCGCGCUGGCGGUAAAAGCCGGGGCAAACAAAAACGGAGAGCUGGAGUCCCGGCCGAGGGGACGGAGGAGCUCCGCGUCGGUGGGUAUCCCAAGGAGAGCAGCUGGCGAUUGUCCCUGGGAUGGAAUAAAACAAGUUAUUAAACCCCCAGAGCUCCUUUUGCUCGGCGCGUUCCUCUGACGCUCUCUAAGGAGCGAGGCAGGUUGGGCACUGGAUUUAUAUUUAAUUUAUUUAUUUAUUUAUUUAUUUAUUUUUAAGACCUGAUUUCCUGUGUUUUCUCCAGUUUUGGAGAUAACAAAAUGAUUCCAUACGGAGUUUGUCAAACAGGAUUUAAUUGGUCUUCUGUAUUUUACAUUUCCGGAGUCGCAGCUCUGCUGUCGCAACGCUCUUCUCUGCGAAACACGGGAUUUGACGUUCCUCAGGCCUCCAGGAGGGGUUCGGCCGGCCAUCGGCAGCGCGGGCGGCGUUUUUUGCGUGAGAAAAGGGAUUCUCAUGUGGAAUGAGGGAAAAAUCUGGCUCUUUUCUAGCUGGGAGUCUGGAUUUUUAUUAGGUUUUUCACUUUUUGGUAGUUUUAAAGAAUAGCCUUCCAGGCUUCUGGCUAAAUCUCUAGUUAUUUUAAUGACUAAAAAUAGGAGCGAGAGUCGGACACGCGGGACUGCUCUGGCUGGCGACUUCUGGAUUUUUUUCGAUCGUCCUUUGAAUUUUCCGCCUUAUUAAAAUCGCCGGCUGCCCUCAGGUGUACGCCUGGCGAAAGCCGAGUUGAAACGAAGGCGUGGUUGAAGGCAGAAAACCCGCUCGCUUUAUUUUUUUUUUCCCCGGGUUUUACUUCUUAAAAUAGGAUUGGCUUGGAAUUUCUUCCUCCGUCCGGAAACCCGCGUGCGAUAGCGUGAGGGAGGGGGGGCCGGUGCUCGCAGGUGGAGCUGGGCGGGCUUUGGCCAGGCCAGUGGCACGCUGGUCUCCGGGGAAAGGGGCCACCGCUCCGUUACAAGCCAGUUGGCUGCGACGGCAGUCGCCAAGAUGCGCGCGACUGGCCGAGGUUUGGAACACGCUCUCCGUCUUACGCCGUCAUGUAGAGCUUGCUUUGCGCUUUUAAGCGUAUUUAGAUUUUUGAAUUGCGCUGCUUUUUUUUUUUUGCCUUUUUUUUUUUUUUUUUGCUUUUUUUCCCUUAAGAAAGCAAGGAGAAAUGGGUCCCGUCCUCUGCAACUGGCCUGUUCCUCCCAGAUGGGUCAUCAGCGGGGUCUGAACGUUGGAUUUUCACAUCCCUGUUCUAUAUUUGACCGCUUGAUAGAGAAACAAGUUGUCCUUUACAGCUGCCUUACCCCAGAGGGGACCAUUAACCUCCGUUUGGCAGGAGAGCUGCGCAGCCGGGACCGCUCCGUUCCCUUCCUGGCGCUGGGGGAAUGCAAGGAGGACAUGGGAGAGGGGAACGGGGGGGAUCAGAGACGUGCCGGGGUAGCACGCUAGGGAGCUGCGUGUAUGGCCGCGGCGAGGAGGAGGAGGAGGAAGACACGGCGGGUUAGCGCGGUCAGGUGUUUCACCAAAACCAACGGCGCUUUCGGCGGCAACGCGCUCCCCGUCGUGCCCGUGGUUGCACCUUAUCAGCCGGAAGGGCUGGAGAUGAAGCCUCUCAAUCACCGCGUCAUGGUGGCCAUGUG